CAGCGGGGGCUUCGGCCUGCCGGCGAGUGGCGAACGGGUGAGUAAUGCAUCGGAACGUGCCCAGUCAUGGGGGAUAACUACGCGAAAGCGUAGCUAAUACCGCAUACGCCCUGAGGGGGAAAGUGGGGGAUCUUCGGACCUCACGUGAUUGGAGCGGCCGAUGUCAGAUUAGCUAGUUGGUGAGGUAAAGGCUCACCAAGGCGACGAUCUGUAGCGGGUCUGAGAGGAUGAUCCGCCACACUGGGACUGAGACACGGCCCAGACUCCUACGGGAGGCAGCAGUGGGGAAUUUUGGACAAUGGGCGCAAGCCUGAUCCAGCCAUGCCGCGUGAGUGAAGAAGGCCUUCGGGUUGUAAAGCUCUUUCGCAAGGGAAGAAAACGUGUGGGCUAAUAUCCUGCGCGGAUGACGGUACCUUGACAAGAAGCACCGGCUAACUACGUGCCAGCAGCCGCGGUAAUACGUAGGGUGCGAGCGUUAAUCGGAAUUACUGGGCGUAAAGCGUGCGCAGGCGG
rnacentral:rRNA from 1 species